CUCAGAGGCCAUACCACCUGCAGUUUAGUUCAGACUAUCUACUCUGAAGCUAAGCAGGUUUGGGCUUGGCCUGGGCUUGGAUGGGAGACCAACUAGGAAAGCUGGACUGCUCCUGGAA
rnacentral:rRNA from 1 species